AGCUUAUUUUGCGAUGGCGGAACUCGACCGCCGGUGGAAGUGAUGGUGUCGUUCAUCGACGUGCAUCGCGGUGUGCAUGGGGUAGAGCCGAUCUGCAGCGUGCUGCCGAUUGCCCCG
rfam:Paracoccus solventivorans strain DSM 6637 genome assembly, contig: Ga0131120_102